rnacentral:rRNA from 1 species
GACGAACGCUGGCGGCGUGCCUAAUACAUGCAAGUAGAACGCACAGUUUAUACCGUAGCUUGCUACACCAUAGACUGUGAGUUGCGAACGGGUGAGUAACGCGUAGGUAACCUGCCUGGUAGCGGGGGAUAACUAUUGGAAACGAUAGCUAAUACCGCAUAAUAUUAAUUAUUGCAUGAUAAUUAAUUGAAAGGUGCAAUUGCACCACUACCAGAUGGACCUGCGUUGUAUUAGCUAGUAGGUGAGGUAACGGCUCACCUAGGCGACGAUACAUACCCGACCUGAGAGGGUGAUCGGCCACACUGGGACUGAGACACGGCCCAGACUCCUACGGGAGGCAGCAGUAGGGAAUCUUCGGCAAUGGACGAAAGUCUGACCGAGCAACGCCGCGUGAGUGAAGAAGGUUUUCGGAUCGUAAAGCUCUGUUGUAAGAGAAGAACGGGUGUGAGAGUGGAAAGUUCACACUGUGACGGUAUCUUACCAGAAAGGGACGGCUAACUACGUG